rnacentral:lncRNA from 1 species
AUAGGAUGACUGUUAGGGACCAAUUAGUACUAUUUUUUAUAUAAUUUUAUUGGUCCCUUUUACCAAGUUUUGAUGUAAUUACACACUUUUAUUCCCACUAUUUUGUAUAAAUGCAAUUAGGUUUAAUUUAUGUUGUUUUGAGUAGUUAUUUCACAUAUUUGUUAGUUUUGUAGAAUUUUUGGACAAGAGAGCUUCGGAAUGCAUAAUCA